rnacentral:rRNA from 1 species
CCUACGGGAGUCAGCAGUGAGGAAUAUUGGUCUAUGGACGAGAGUCUGAACCAGCCAAGUAGCGUGAAGGAUGACUGCCCUAUGGGUUGUAAACUUCUUUUAUAUGGGAAUAAAACGUUCCACGUGUGGGAUUUUGUAUGUACCAUAUGAAUAAGGAUCGGCUAACUCCGUGCCAGCAGCCGCGGUAAUACGGAGGAUCCGAGCGUUAUCCGGAUUUAUUGGGUUUAAAGGGAGCGUAGGUGGAUUGUUAAGUCAGUUGUGAAAGUUUGCGGCUCAACCGUAAAAUUGCAGUUGAAACUGGCAGUCUUGAGUACAGUAGAGGUGGGCGGAAUUCGUGGUGUAGCGGUGAAAUGCUUAGAUAUCACGAAGAACUCCGAUUGCGAAGGCAGUUCACUGGACUGCAACUGACACUGAGGCUCGAAAGUGUGGGUAUCAAACAGGAUUAGAUACCCCUGUAGUC